GAACAGGUAGUUUAAAAAAUAUUUGGUUUCGGCCCAGAAGAUAACAUGUGAUGUUUCUGUUU
rnacentral:tRNA from 1 species